UGGGGAAUAUUGCACAAUGGGCGGAAGCCUGAUGCAGCAACGCCGCGUGCGGGAUGACGGCCUUCGGGUUGUAAACCGCUUUCGCCUGUGACGAAGCGUGAGUGACGGUAAUGGGUAAAGAAGCACCGGCUAACUACGUGCCAGCAGCCGCGGUGAUACGUAGGGUGCGAGCGUUGUCCGGAUUUAUUGGGCGUAAAGGGCUCGUAGGUGGUUGAUCGCGUCGGAAGUGUAAUCUUGGGGCUUAACCCUGAGCGUGCUUUCGAUACGGGUUGACUUGAGGAAGGUAGGGGAGAAUGGAAUUCCUGGUGGAGCGGUGGAAUGCGCAGAUAUCAGGAGGAACACCAGUGGCGAAGGCGGUUCUCUGGGCCUUCCCUGACGCUGAGGAGCGAAAGCGUGGGGAGCGAACAGGCUUAGAUACCCUGGUAGUCCACGCUGUAAACGGUGGGUACUAGGUGUGGGGUCCAUUCCACGGGUUCCGUGCCGUAGCUAACGCUUUAAGUACCCCGCCUGGGGAGUACGGCCGCAAGGCUA
rnacentral:rRNA from 1 species